UUAUAUUUUAUAUAAUUUUAUAAUAUUUUUAUUUAUUGAAUUUAUUAUAUUAUUAUUAGAAUUUUUAAAAGUAAAUAUUUUAUUUUUGUCAUAAUUAUUAUUAUUUUAUAUUAUCUUUGGAUUUUUUUUUAAUUUCAGUUUUAUUUGUACAAAUCAAAUCGGAUAUCUGAUUAAAAUAUAAAAAUAUUCGGAUAUAGAAAACACUGAAUAUCCUCGAAUAAUUAAUUAUUCGGACUAAAUCUAGUCAUAAAUACUUUCAAAAAUCUGGAUAUUUGAUUCAGGUUUGUUUACCCCUCCAAUUGCCAACUUCUCUUUUACCAUAUGUGAUACAACUCAUCCGCAAUUCCACCAAUAGAAGGAGCAUUGCAAAUUCACAUGAUAUCUAUAUGACUAUAACUUUAGCAAAAAAAAAAAAAAACUAUAACAAACAUAGAAUUAUUCAGAAGUUAAGAAGCCAUUCUGAAUUAUUAUUUUGCGUUUAUAAAUAGUUACAUAACGGUAUACAAUUUAUCACAUAAUUUAUCAUUUAGAUAUCAAGUUCAUAUGUAAGCAUAACUAUGGAUCCUGCAUAUUUUUGCUAUAAAAAAAAUGAAAAAGAAAAUGAGAGAUGAGAUUUGCAAAAUUAAAAGAGACUGAGAUAAAAAAAAGUACUGAAGGAACAAAAGAGGGCCAAAUCAUUGUCCUUCUCCAUUGACCAUUCCCCACCUUCUUGUUAUCUCUCUCAACCCGUUUAUUUUCAUUUUUAUUGUUUAAGAUAAUAAUAAUGCAAUCUUCUACACUAUCUUCAAUGUUUUAGCUAUUUUUUCCAAAAGAAAAUAUAAUAAUUCUAUAAUAUAGGUUUACUCCAAUAUUUAUUUCUCUUUUUAAAUAUACACAAAUGGUAAUGAUUUGUUUCAUAAACUGUUGUAAGUUGACAUAUGGUUUCCGACUUUCCUUUAUAUGAUGUCUUACCAGAAACUUGAAAACCACACUAAGCAAAACGUGAUAACUAGUGAUGCAAGGGCUUUUUUUUUGUUAUUUUUUUUUUGUUACUUAGUCAAUGGGCAUUUUUUGUUUAAGAUGAAAUAUUUGAUAAUCAAAUGCUAAGAAAUACUAUAUCAGAUUUUUUAUUUAAAAAGAAUAAGACACUAUUCCUAAUUUCCUUUUAUUACUAUCAGUCAAUAAUUCAAUAAUAUUAAUAUCACUAUUAAUUUAAAAUUUGCGUUUUUUUUUUGUUUUCCUUAAUUUGGUACUCUCCAAUCAUAAGUGUUACGAUACAAAGAGAGCCCGGACAAAAUAAUAAAACAGAAACAUGAGUUUGCAUAUAAAAUAUAUGUUCUCAUUGAUGAAUGAUUGUUAGUCUCUGUAUGAAGCUGUAAAAACAGUGUGUACAAUACCGGUCAAAUCCUGUCCUACUCGUUAUCUAACUCCCUUUGUAGUUUGUUG
rnacentral:lncRNA from 1 species